rnacentral:rRNA from 1 species
AUACGUAGGUGGCAAGCGUUGUCCGGAAUUAUUGGGCGUAAAGCGCAUGUAGGCGGUGCCUUAAGUCUGUCGUGAAACUGCGGGGCCUAACCCCGUAUGGCGAUGGAAACUGUGGCACUUGAGUGCAGGAGAGGAAAGGGGAACUCCCAGUGUAGCGGUGAAAUGCGUAGAUAUUGGGAAGAACACCGGUUGCGAAGGCGCCUUUCUGGACUGUGUGUGACGCUGAGAUGCGAAAGCCGGGGUAGCGAACGGGAUUAGAUGCCCCGGUAGUCCUGGCCGUAAACGAUGGGUACUAGGUGUGGGAGGUAUCGACCCCUUCCGUGCCGGAGUUAACGCAAUAAGUACCCCGCCUGGGGAGUACGGCCGCAAGGCUUAAACUCAAAUGAAUUGACGGGG